rnacentral:rRNA from 1 species
GACGAACGCUGGCGGCGUGCUUAACACAUGCAAGUCGAACGGAAAGGCCCUGCUUUUGUGGGGUGCUCGAGUGGCGAACGGGUGAGUAACACGUGAGUAACCUGCCCUUGACUUUGGGAUAACUUCAGGAAACUGGGGCUAAUACCGGAUAGGAGCUCCUGCUGCAUGGUGGGGGUUGGAAAGUUUCGGCGGUUGUGGAUUGGCUCGCUGCUUAUCCGCUUGUUGGUGUGGUAGUGGCUUACCAAGGCUUUGACGGGUAGCCUGCCUGAGAGGGGGACCGGCCACAUUGGGACUGAGGUACGGCCCAGACUCCUACGGGAGGCAGCAGUCGGGAAUAUUGCACAAUGGGCGGAAGCCUGAGGCAGCAACGCCGCGUGCGGGAUGCCGGCCUUCGGGUUGUAAACAGAUUUCGACUGUGACGAAGCGUGAGUGACGGUAAUGGGUAAAGAAGCACCGGCUAACUACGUG